rnacentral:rRNA from 1 species
AGCGAACGCUGGCGGCAGGCUUAACACAUGCAAGUCGAGCGGGCACUUCGGUGUCAGCGGCCGACGCGUGAGUAACACGUGGGAACGUACCCUUUGGUUCGGAAUAACGCGGGGAAACUCGCGCUAAUACCGGAUACACCCUUCUGGGGAAAGGCUUGCUGCCUCAGGUUCGGCCCUCGUCUGAUUAGCUAGUUGGUGAGCAUAUGGCCUACCAAGGAGACGGUGAGGAGCUGGUCUGCGAGGAUGACCACCCACACUGGAACUGAGACACGGACCAGACAGCUACGGGAGGCAGCAGGGGGGAAUCUUAGCCAACGGGCCCAAGCCUGAUCCAGCCACGCCGCGGGAGUGAUGAAGGUCUUAGGGUUGUAAAGCCCUUUUGUCCGGGAAGAUAAUGACGGUACCGGAAGAAUAAGCCCCGGCUAACUUCGUG